rnacentral:rRNA from 1 species
GACGAACGCUGGCGGCGUGCUUAACACAUGCAAGUCGAACGGUUAAGCGCCUUCCUUUUUGGUGGGUGUGGAUGAGUGGCGAACGGGUGAGUAACACGUGAGUAACCUGCCCCCUUCUUCUGGAUAACCGCAUGAAAGUGUGGCUAAUACGGGAUAUUCUGAGUCUGUCGCAUGAUGGGUCUGGGAAAGAUAUUGUUUCGGUGGGGGAUGGGCUCGCGGCCUAUCAGCUUGUUGGUGGGGUGAUGGCCUACCAAGGCGGUGACGGGUAGCCGGUCUGAGAGGGUGGACGGUCACACUGGGACUGAGACACGGCCCAGACUCAUACGGGAGGCAGCAGUGGGGAAUAUUGCAAAAUGGGCGCAAGCCUGAUGCAGCGACGCCGCGUGAGGGAUGGAGGCCUUCGGGUUGUGAACCUCUUUCGCCAGUGAAGCAGGCCUGCCUCGUUUGUGGGUGGGUUGACGGUAGCUGGAUAAGAAGCGUCGGCUAACUACGUG